rnacentral:rRNA from 1 species
CUGGUUGAUCCUGCCAGAGGUUACUGCUAUCGAGGUUCGACUAAGCCAUGCGAGUCGAAUGUAGCAAUACAUGGCGUACUGCUCAGUAACACGUGGACAACCUACCCUCAGGACAGGUAUAAACCCGGGAAACUGGGUAUAAUCCCUGAUAGUCCUCGGCUGCUGGAAUGCGUCGAGGACGAAAGCUCCGGCGCCUGAGGAUGGGUCUGCGGCCUAUCAGGUAGUAGUGGGUGUAACGUACCUACUAGCCUACGACGGGUACGGGUUGUGAGAGCAAGAGCCCGGAGAUGGAUUCUGAGACACGAAUCCAGGCCCUACGGGGUGCAGCAGGCGCGAAAACUUUACAAUGCCGGCAACGGCGAUAAGGGGACCUCGAGUGCCAGGUUACAAAUCUGGCUGUCGUGAUGCCUAAAAAGCAUUGCAUAGCAAGGGCCGGGCAAGACCGGUGCCAGCCGCCGCGGUAACACCGGCGGCUCGAGUGGUAACCGUUAUUAUUGGGUCUAAAGGGUCUGUAGCCGGCCGGAUAAGUCUCUUGGGAAAUCCAGCAGCUCAACUGUUGGGCUUUCAGGAGAUACUGUUCGGCUCGAGGCCGGGAGAGGUGAGAGGUACUUCAGGGGUAGGGGUGAAAUCUUGUAAUCCUUGAAGGACCACCAGUGGCGAAGGCGUCUCACCAGAACGGACCUGACGGCAAGGGACGAAAGCUAGGGGCACGAACCGGAUUAGAUACCCGGGUAGUCCUAGCCGUAAACGAUACUCGCUAGGUGUCGGCCACGGUGCGACCGUUGUCGGUGCCGUAGGGAAGCCGUGAAGCGAGCCACCUGGGAAGUACGGCCGCAAGGCUGAAACUUAAAGGAAUUGGCGGGGGAGCACCACAACGGGUGGAGCUUGCGGUUUAAUUGGGAUUCAACGCCCGGG